rnacentral:rRNA from 1 species
CAAUAGCGUAUAUUAAAGUUGUUGCAGUUAAAAAGCUCGUAGUUGGAUUUCUGGUAGGAGUGACCGUUCCGAACUUGAUUGUUCGUGUAUUGUGUUUUCUCCAGCCAUCCUUGUGGAGAACUUUUCUUGCAUUAAUUUGUAGGGAUUGGGACCCGCAUCGUUUACUGUGAAAAGAUUAGAGUGUUUAAAGCAGGCAAUCGCUUGAAUACAUUAGCAUGGAAUAAUAAGAUAGGACUUUGGUACUAUUUUGUUGGUUUGCAUACCAAAUUAAUGAUCAACAGGAACAGUUUGAGGAUAUUCGUAUGAACAUGUCAGAGGUGAAAUUCUUGGAUUUUGAUCAGACGAACUACUGCGAAAGCAUUUAUCAAGGAUGUUUUCAUUAA